rnacentral:misc_RNA from 1 species
GAAAUGCGAUAAGUAAUGUGAAUUGCAGAAUUCAGUGAAUCAUCGAAUCUUUGAACGCACAUUGCGCCCGCCAGUAUUCUGGCGGGCAUGCCUGUCCGAGCGUCAUUUCAACCAUCAAGCCCCCGGCUUGUGUUGGGGACCUGCGGCUGCCGCAGGCCCUGAAAAGCAGUGGCGGGCUCGCUGUCACACCGAGCGUAGUAGCAUACAUCUCGCUCUGGGCGUGCUGCGGGUUCCGGCCGUUAAACCACCUUCGUAACCCAAGGUUGACCUCGGAUCAGGUAGGAAGACCCGCUGAACUUAAGC